rnacentral:rRNA from 1 species
AGCAGCCGCGGUAAUUCCAGCUCCAAUAGCGUAUAUUAAAGUUGUUGCAGUUAAAAAGCUCGUAGUUGAAUUUUGGGUUUGGCCGAUUGGUCCGUUCUUGUAACGAGUACUGGUCGGUUGGGCCUCACCGCUUGGGGAAGGGUAAUGCCCUUUAUUGGGUGUUGCUCGGAGCCAAGACCUUUACCUUGAAAAAAUUAGAGUGUUUAAAGCAGGCAUAUGCCAGAAUACAUUAGCAUGGAAUAAUAGAAUAGGACAACGAUUCUAUUUUGUUGGUUUCUAGGACCGUUGUAAUGAUUAAUAGGGAUAGUUGGGGGCAUUAGUAUUCAAUUGUCAGAGGUGAAAUUCUUGGAUUUAUUGAAGACUAACUACUGCGAAAGCAUUUGCCAAGGAUGUUUUCAUUAAUCAAGAACGAAAGUUAGGGGAUCGAAGACGAUCAGAUACCGUCGUAGUCUUAACCAUAAACUAUGCCGACUAGGGAUCGGGCGAUGUUGUUUCAAUGACUCGCUCGGCACCUUAUGGGAAACCAAAGUGUUU